AUGUACUAUAAGACUAGAAAAACUGACGCACUCACGGGUCGCAACACCAGAAACAAAAAAUACUUGUACAACCAAAAGAAAACAAAAACACGAACACAAAAUCUCAGCGCGAUGGCAAACGACGAGCGCGGCGCCGGCGAGCGUGGAGCGGCGGAGGACAGCGUCGUGUGGAGGGAGGAGGCGGGGAAGUUCGAGACGCCCGACGGCGAGGCCUUCCUCCGGUACCGCCUCGUCGCCCAGCCGCGCGCCUCCUCCGGCCGCGGCGGCGCGUCCCCGGCGGCGAUGAACAUGGUGCACACGUACGUGCCCGGGAGCAAGCGCGGGCAGGGGCUCGCCGCGCGCCUGUGCGACGCCGCCUUCGCCCACGCGCGGCGCCACGGCAUGCGCGUCAUCCCCACCUGCUCCUACAUCUCGGACACGUACCUCCCUCGCAAUCCGGCGUGGAACGAUCUUGUCUACAAGGCUGACGAGCCCAAACGCAGCAGCACCAGCAGUAGCAUGUAG
rnacentral:rRNA from 1 species